CGGACAACGCUGGCGGCGUGCCUCAUACAUGCAAGUCGAGCGGAUGUAGCAAUACAUCAGCGGCGGACGGGUGAGUAACACGUGGGCAACCUGGCCUUAAGAGGGGGAUAACGUCCCGAAAGGGACGCUAAUACCGCGUAAAUCAACGAGAUCGCAUGAUUUUGUUGGAAAAGGAGCAAUCCGCUUAAGGAUGGGCCCGCGGCCUAUUAGCUAGUUGGUAGGGUAAUGGCCUACCAAGGCGACGAUAGGUAGCCGACCUGAGAGGGUGAACGGCCACACUGGAACUGAGAAACGGUCCAGACUCCUACGGGAGGCAGCAGUAGGGAAUAUUCCGCAAUGGGCGAAAGCCUGACGGAGCAACGCCGCGUGAGUGAAGAAGGUUUUCGGAUCGUAAAGCUCUGUCAACAGGGACGAAACAAGACGGUACCUGAGAAGGAAGCCACGGCAAACUACGUG
rnacentral:rRNA from 1 species